GACGAACGCUGGCGGCGUGCUUAACACAUGCAAGUCGUACGGUAAGGCCCUUUCGGGGGUACACGAGUGGCGAACGGGGGAGUAACACGUGAGUAACCUGCCCACAACUUUGGGAUAACGCUAGGAAACUGGUGCUAAUACUGGAUAUGUGCUCCUGCUGCAUGGUGGGGGUUGGAAAGCUCCGGCGGUUGUGGAUGGACUCGCGGCCUAUCAGCUUGUUGGUGGGGUAGUGGCCUACCAAGGCGGCGACGGGUAGCCGGCCUGAGAGGGUGACCGGCCACAUUGGGACUGAGAGACGGCCCAGACGCCUACGGGAGGCAGCAGUGGGGAAUAUUGCACAAUGGGCGCAAGCCUGAUGCAGCAACGCCGCGUGCGGGAUGACGGCCUUCGGGUUGUAAACCGCUUUCAGCAGGGACGAAGCUUUUUGUGACGGUACCUGCAGAAGAAGCACCGGCUAACUACGUG
rnacentral:rRNA from 1 species